UGGGUGGAUGAGUGGCGAACGGGUGAGUAACACGUGAGUAACCUGCCCCUUCUUUGGGAUAACGCCCGGAAACGGGUGCUAAUACUGGAUAUUCACUGAUCUUCGCACGGGGGUUGGUGGAAAGGGUUUUUUCUGGUGGGGGAUGGGCUCGCGGCCUAUCAGCUUGUUGGUGGGGUGAUGGCCUACCAAGGCUUUGACGGGUAGCCGGCCUGAGAGGGUGACCGGUCACAUUGGGACUGAGAUACGGCCCAG
rnacentral:rRNA from 1 species